rnacentral:rRNA from 1 species
CAGCAGCCGCGGUAAUACGAAGGGUGCAGGCGUUAAUCGGAAUUACUGGGCGUAAAGCGUGCGUAGGCGGUUUGUUAAGUCUGCUGUGAAAUCCCCGGGCUCAACCUGGGAAUGGCAGUGGAUACUGGCAAGCUAGAGUCUUGUAGAGGGGGGUAGAAUUCCAGGUGUAGCGGUGAAAUGCGUAGAGAUCUGGAGGAAUACCGGUGGCGAAGGCGGCCCCCUGGACAAAGACUGACGCUCAGGUGCGAAAGCGUGGGGAGCAAACAGGAUUAGAUACCCCUGUAGUCCCUGUCUCUUAUAC